rnacentral:ncRNA from 1 species
GGGUGCAGCGGGCUCCCGCUGCAGGCACUCGGAUGGUCGGGCCGCCAUCC